rnacentral:lncRNA from 1 species
CUGGUGAUUCACUUUUAAGUGGGGAAUGUUAUUUUUUAAAGUUAGUAUACUCAAUAACUUUCUAAAACUCAACAGUUCGAUGAUUUCACACAGAUCCUCAGUAAACCCACUUUCCAAAAAGGAAUUGUGGGUGAUUGGAAAAACCACUUUACUGUGGCCCAGAAUGAGAGGUUUGAUGAAAUCUAUGAGCAAAAGAUGGACGGAACCUCUCUAAACUUCUGCAUGGAACUCUGAUCAAGAUGAGAAGAUAGACAUCAAGGACAGGAGUCUGUCUGCAAGCCUCAAUCCAGCCAAAGGAAGAUCAGAAAGCAAACUGUAAAUGCCAAGGACUGUGACACCGACUCUGUUAUUACUGACAUCACUUUACAAUUCACAAAAUCAUAUUAUGUCCAGUGUAUACUUUCUCCACUAUUCAGUACAAAUCAGUAAGAUGGCUUAAUAAGCUAAUAAAUAAACAAACUUGAAUAGUAUAAAUUUUAUGAUGACAUCUUUCUAGGAGGUAUAGCCUAUAUUCUAACUCUAAAUAACUAUCUUAUGCACAAAAACACAAAUAUUAGAAAUCAUCUAAAUGAAUGUACAGAAAUUCCUAAUGUCUUUCUGCUCAAUCGGUAUUUUUCACGUGGGCACAGCAUGUGUUACUGCCAGCAAGAGCUAUGAGAAGGUGCAGUAGAAGUUAGUGGGUGGAAGCUACGAAACUGGAACAUGGCCUAGAAGAGAAUGAGUGCUCCUGGCCCUUGGUCUUCCUUUCCCUUGUUUCUUGGCCAUGAAAAAUUCAAUAAAAUGAGGUGGUUAGUUUUGCUUUGCCAUUUACCCUCACCAUGAUAUUCUGUCCAUCUCACCACAGAACGUAAAUUCCAAACCCAAGAGCUAAAAUAAAGCUUCUGUCUUUAUAAGUUGCUUUCCCCAGAUAUUGUUAUACUGAAAGAAAGCUCACUAAUACAUUCCCAAUGAUGUGGUUAUAAAGUACUAGAAAAGUCUGAAAUUUUGUUGAACUUAUAGACAAUCGCUUGGUUACUGCCGAAAUCUAACCAUAUGUGUAUAGUUAAUUAACAAUGUCUAUUAUAUUAAAAAAUUAUAUCCUAAUUGUAUUGUAAAUUUUUAUUGUUUGCUUCUAAGUCUUGAAAUUAUUCAAAGUUUCUCUAGGUAGAGAGUCCCCUCUUACAAUCCAAACUAAACUGAAGUCCCUACAUCUGCCUCCUUUCAGGGUUAAGUUCAUAAGAGCCCAGAGUCACUCUAGCCUAUAAAAGGAAUGACUCUGGUCUCCAACCAUCUACUGGUUAACUGUAGAUUUAAGGUAAACUUUGGAAACAUAAUAGUGUCGAACUUAAGCCUCUUUUGGCUUUAUUUUUCUGGGAGUUUCCUUUGUAUUCAGAAAUUAAAAUAGCAGAACUUGAAAGAGAUAAAUGGUAAAACAUACUAUGUUGGCUUUGUACACGAUUGUAUUCAUAAUUUACCCAUUGGCAAUUUUUAACUAUUACUUUUAGAGAAAAGAAUUAAUCAAGUAAAUGAAACAUUACAUCAGAAGAGUAGUUAAGUAACUGUUAGAACGUUUAUAAACAUUUUAGUUUUACUAGCAUUGACUUAUGAUUAUUUUACUAGCACGUCUCUAUAUACACAAAAUUCAAUAAAAGAGUUUCAGUUACUCCAUUUGUUUGCUAUCAAUCAUUUAUUUAUUUCUGCUCAUGAUAAAUACUGAUAACAGACUGGGUGCAGGAAAAUGGAUAGUAAAAAUGAUUCAGUCCAGUUUAAGAAUGAGCCAAUUAAUAAGCUCAUGCAACCUUCCUCAGCAGACCUCUCUUACAUCUGGUAUCACUAAAACCUUGAGGUC